rnacentral:rRNA from 1 species
AUGAUUGAGGGCGGCUCACACAUGCAGCCUCAGCCGGGGAACGCUCACACGGCGAACAGCGAGCAGCCCGAGCCGGCCACCACGCCGAUGAACGGCAUGGCUGCUUCGGGGCCAGGCAAUGGCCAGAUGGCAGAUGAAGCAGCCGCCAGCGGAGCGACGGAGGAUAUCGAGGCGGCCGGCAACAACAAUGGGCAAGGUCCGCCCAACAGGUCAUCCAGCAUCAAGGAUGAUUUCGAGUUCUUGUGGAGGCUGCGGAAGUAUUUGCUACUUCUGGCGGUGUUGGCCGUUGGUGUCACCUACAAUGCUGGGUUGAGCCCGCCGGGGGGAUUUCAGAUGGACAGACUUGACCGCCAUGCCGGCGAUCCUCUCCUCCCACUUAAAUUCUUCCGGCGAUACGAAGCCUUCUUUUACUGCAACGCCACAGCCUUUGCUGCUUCUCUAGUCUUGAUCAUCUUGCUUCUGAGUAGGGGAGUGGCGAGCAAGCAUGUCUGGCUUCGCUCGAUGCAGUUUACCAUGAUCCUGGAUCUUUUCAGUCUCAUGGGGGCAUAUGCCGCGGGGAGUUGCAGAGUACUAAGGUCUUCCAUUUACAUAUUGGUGCUGGUCUGUUCUGUUUUCGCCUAUGUUGCGGUUCAUAUCCUGUUGUUCAUGAGGGUAGUUCCACAGCCGUUAAAAGAUCAGGUGCAGAAAACCCGGGAUAUCAUUCUGAAGAAGCUGAAACGCAUGCUAAAAAAGGUGCCAUCUAUUUGCCCUGUCUCUGAUCCUGACGGGCAAAGGAGCAACCGAGAUUACGCAAGGGAGAUCGAGGAGGCUCGCAAGUUCAUAUUGAUGCUUGCAACCUUUGCUGCUACUAUCACAUACCAAGCUGGGAUAAGUCCACCUGGUGGCUUUUGGGGUGCAAAUAAUCCUGAACACCGUGCAGCUACUUUUGUUCUCCGCAAGCACAAUCUCCUCCGCUUCAAUAUUUUCAUGUGUUGCAAUGCGACCUCUUUUGUGGCGUCUUUGGUCACAGUCAUACUGCUUCUGAGCACGGAACUGAGCACGCAUGGGAUAAGGACUCAAGCGCUGUCUGUGUGCGUCGUGGCUGAUCUGCUGGGGCUCAUUGGUGCUUAUGCUUCAGGGAGCUGCAGGGAUGUUGCAACAUCGUUGUCAGUGAUACUCAUAAUUGCUGUGGUUCUUAUCUGUGUUCUGAUUCUUGUCAUUUGCCUUCAUUGCAAAGCUGUAACGGUGUGGGUGGAUGGGGCGCUGAAGCCAGCACUUGACAAAAUGCUGAGUGCGCUGUCAUUGGGGCAAGAUGAUUCUCCAAGAGCUCACCAGCAAUGUACAUAUUGUCAGAGAAUGCACCAUCAAGAUACAGAGCUUGUUUCUCAGAGAACUCACCAGCAAGAUACAGAUCUUGAUUCUCAGAGGAUUCACCAACAAGAUACAGAGCUUGACUCUCAGAGAGCUCAGCAGCAAGAUGCAGAACUUGAUUCUCAGAGGAUUCGCGAGCAAGAUACAGAGCUUGAUUCUCUGACAACUCAUCAGCAAGCUACAGAGCAUGUAGUUCGAGAUACAGAAGCAGAAGGUGUCAUGUCGAAUUUGCAGUGCUACUCUGCUGACAGAAAUCUUGUAUCAACUGGAGAUGUGAGAUCUGUAUCAACCAGUGAUUUGGAUAGCAUGGAGGACAUCAUGCCAACAACACUACGUCAAUCUCAUGACCAGAGUGAACAUGCUGCAAUUAAAGUUGUAUGCUCAUCAUCAACAGAUGCCCUAACUACCGAGGAAGUUCCAUCGGACAACUUGGAAAUACAACCUGCUGGCGGUCAGCAGGUUGCAAUCCCCAUGGCACUAUCAUCAAGUGACAGUAGAAAUUCUAUCCAAGGUACUUUACCGUUGCAGGGCUCGGUGGACGAAAAUGCAACAUCUGGUAACCUGAGGAUAGAUGCUGAUGAUCCGGCAAUGGGAUGUGAAUUACCCGACAACCAUGGGGACAGCACAGAACAGCAUGCUCAGCAAAUGUCCAAUAACCCUACUAGUGCAGAUGAUCGUGAUGUUAGAUUAGAGAUCGACAACACUGCCAAUGAUCAAGCCCCACAGCAUCAGAGAUGUAUUAAAUGCAGCUGUAGAAAUCCAGAUGAUGCUUUUCUGAAGAAGUCACGCACUUACCUAUUGCUUCUUGCAAUUCUUGCCGUGUCUUUGACAUAUCAAGCUGGUUUAAAUCCACCAGGUGGCUUCUGGACAUCAAAUGCCACAAAGCACUCUGCUGGUGAUCCCAUUCUUGGGGACAGUGGUCGCGUCUGGACAUCAAGUGGCACUAAGCACUCUGCUGGUGAUCCCAUUCUUGAGGACAAUUAUCAUAAGAGAUACCUUGCCUUCUUUUAUUUCAAUGCCACUGCAUUUGCAGCCUCCCUUGUCAUGAUCCUUAUGCUCCUGAGCAGGAAGAUGAGCAACAAGGUUAUAAAACGCCGGGCACUGCAGACAGCAAUGAUAACCGAUUUGCUUGCUCUAAUGGGGGCCUUUGUUGUUGGGAGUUGCAGGGAGAAGACAAAAUCUAUUUACAUAUCAGUGUCGAUAUUUAUCGUGGUUGCAUAUGUUCCUCUCCAUGUUUUUGUAUUUAGGCAUAAUGGAUGGUUGAAAGUGUGUGUUACCCAGAGGAUGAAGUUUGCACCACCUCAGACAGAUAAUGAGUCAAGAGAUGCUAAGGAGAAGGACUUGGCGCGGAGGCGGAAUUUGCUCUUUAUUCUUGCAAUUCUGGCGGCAACUGUCACGUACCAAGCUGGCCUGAACCCUCCAGGAGGCAUUUGGCCUGAUGAGAACAGUAAGGGUGGCAAACCAGGCAAUCCAGUUCUUCAAGACAGCCACCCAGAGCGCUAUAAUGUUUUCUACUACUCGAACGCCGUCUCAUUUGCGUCAUCUGUGGCUGUCAUCAUUCUUCUUGUUAACAGGGAAUCAUGUGAGGAUGGAAUCAAGUCGUACGCAAUUCGUGUGUGCUUGGUAGCAGGUUUGCUGGGCCUCCUGAUUGCUUAUUCUGCAGGAACCUGCAGGAAAGCGAGACCGGUAAUAUAUCUUAUUGUCAUAGCCUCUGCAGCUCUAACAUGCCUUGUGAUUCAAGUACUUGUACUACAAGAUGCAUUAGAUGGGCCACUGACCUGGUUAAGGGGUCGGUUGCGGGAGAUUCUUCAUCUAGAGCCUGACUCUGAGACACCGCUGGAAAGUUCAGAUGAAGAAAACAAGGAACGUAAUGCUCAGGGGUCAGGCCCCCUUAUCAGUGAGAAGAAGGAAAAGAAGAGACAGAAGUACUUGAUGCUUCUUUCGGUUCUUGCUGCAUCCAUUGCGUACCAAGCCGGUCUAAACCCGCCUGGUGGCUUCUGGCCUGAUGACACUCCCAAAAAUGGUUACAAGGCUGGCAACCCGGUACUUAAGGACAUAAACUCCUGGCGCUACAUGGUAUUCUAUGUCUUCAAUUCCAUCUCUUUCAUGUCAUCUAUUGCUGUAGUCAUGCUUCUGCUGAGUAAAUCUGUGAGACAGAAGAAGGUUCCGCUCCAAGCAUUGCACUUCAUCAUGAUACUGGACCUGUUGGCUCUGAUGACAGCUUAUGCAGCUGGAAGUUGCAGAAAGUUCAGGACUUCAAUAUUCAUCCUCGUGGUAGUAUGUUGUGUGCUGGUGUACCUUCUGUUUAUUAUUAUCUUGUCAAGUCGCAUAGCAAGAUGGCUGAAAAAACAGAAAAACAAGGUGGCUUCCUUGCUGCUGGAGCCUAGCCAUGCUGCUGCAACUUCAGCAUGA